CCAUCAUCUUCUUCCUCACCAAACCCUAGCCAUUGUCGCAAAACACCACCUUUGAUAAGCUUCGUUGUCGACCACCUUCACAUCUCCCUUGUGGUUGCUUCGUCUAGCCCUAAACCCUAAACUGUGGGACAAAUACUAAGCAGCAUCAUCUAUGUUCAUGGAUCGAAGCUGUGCAUGACAGUCGAAGCUCUUAUCUGAGUUGACCUCUUUGUUUCAUGCUAGUUUGAUCGCUUGCACUUGGUUGAUCGCCUCUGUCUGCACCACCGCCACCCGACAACGGUCUAUGUUGGCUAUAUCCCAUUGAAAGAAGUGUACGCAUGUUAAAUUAAUUUUUCCUAAACAAAGCAUGUCAUGAGGGGUCUAUUGCAGAGGUGUAUCUGAUGAAUGAGUCAGGGAAUUUUUGUUUGAGAUAUUUAAGUGGGAUUGAAACUAGAUUCACUAGAGAUGAAUCAAAUGAUGACAACAUUUUCGAUGACGAGGUAAUUGGUGAGUUUGAAGUGUUUGUGUAGAAAGUACGACCACUAGGGGCAUGAAGUUUACGAACUGUAUCAUAAGAGGAGAAACGACUUGCAUACUGGUACAUCUUUAAUAAUAUAGAUGAAAUAGCAUACUACUGUAAGUAUACACAUUUUCAGCUUUAUACUUCACUGGCUAUUUUGAAUAUUUGUUAUUCUUGUCACACGAACUCACAAUUAUCUACUUUAAGAAACACUUGAGGUUGAUACGUCGUCAAGCUCAAAGCGCUUCUGACUUAUGUAGAAGACAUCAACGACCAUUUCCUGAUUGGUUCAGAGCUCAGGUUCUAGAAAUGUGUGAGAGAGAAAACCUUUUUCAUGACUUCUUCUUACUUGAAAUGACCUUCAUCUGAGGUUCGCUCUUAUAGUAGAUGCAUUAUUGGUGGGGUACGAUUUCACAUGGUAGAGCAUGAUUUUUGACGCACCAUACAAAAUAGUGGAGUCAUAGUAGUCGAUCAAGUGUUGGACGUUCAAUAUUCAUUGGGACGGUGUGUUUGGUUAUUAAGGUGUAGAUGGUUUGACACAGAGAACAAUAAAAGUCAUAGAACACACAUGGAAUUAGGGUACGAAUCAAUCAACAUGUCGCGCUUUUGGUUCACUGAGGAACUACCACUACUACAAAAGGAGGCUCUCUUGGCGUUUUUAAACUGUCAAGAGAUGACUCUCUUGACGGUUUUAUAAACGUCGUUGAAGCCAGCGCCAAGAAAGGCAAAGGUCUUAACGGUUGAAUAAACGUCAAGAAUAGUGAACGUUGACGUUUUAUAAACGUCAAAUAUACUUAUGCUCAUGACGUUUUAGAACCUUCAAGACUGGUAUUGUUUAUGACAUUUUAAAGUCGUCAAGAAUGAACUGGUUUACUACA